AGGCAUCUUUAUCUGGUGUUGAGCCACUCAUGCAAAAGAUACAUAGUGAGAUUCGUCCCGUGGAUGCUGGAAUAUUGGCAGCUGUUCACCAAAAGAUUUUGAUGCAGAUGAGAACGACGAGCCUUAGGCUUUGGCUCCGCUGGAGGAGUAACUUGGGGUUGCUCUCGUGUAUCGAGAUUUAUUUUCCGACUUAUGUAUUUUUCCCCUUGUAUUAUAUUUUGGGAUAAGUGUAUAACUCUUUUCUAUACUAUAUUUAUUUUGGUAAGUUUGUAUUUAAAAUUCUGGUACUCAAUUGGCUAGCUUUUAAUUUAA